rnacentral:rRNA from 1 species
AUCAAUAAKCGGUAGGAAAAGAARCCAACAGGGAUUGCCCUAGUAACGGCGAGUGAAGCGGCAACAGCUCAAAUUUGAAAUCUGGCCUUCGGGUCCGAGUUGUAAUUUGUAGAGGAUGCUUUUGGCGCGGUGCCUUCCGAGUUCCCUGGAACGGGACGCCUUAGAGGGUGAGAGCCCCGUACGGUUGGACACCAAGCCUCUGUAAAGCUCCUUCGACGAGUCGAGUAGUUUGGGAAUGCUGCUCUAAAUGGGAGGUAAAUUUCUUCUAAAGCUAAAUAUUGGCCAGAGACCGAUAGCGCACAAGUAGAGUGAUCGAAAGAUGAAAAGCACUUUGAAAAGAGGGUUAAAUAGCACGUGAAAUUGUUGAAAGGGAAGCGUUUGCGACCAGACUUUUUCCUAGCGGAUCAUCCGGUGUUAUCACCGGUGCACUUCGCUAGGUUAAGGCCAGCAUCGGUUUCUGUAGGGGGAUAAAAGCUUGGGGAAUGUAGCUCCCUCGGGAGUGUUAUAGCCCCUCGCAUAAUACCCUUACGGGGACCGAGGACCGCGCUUUUGCAAGGAUGCUGGCGUAAUGGUUGUCAACGACCCGUCUUGAAACACGGACCAAGGAGUCGAACAUUUGUGCGAGUGUUUGGGUGUUAAACCCUCACGCGUAAUGAAAGUGAACGGAGGUGAGAGCCCUUACGGGUGCAUCAUCGACCGAUCCUGAUGUCUUCGGAUGGAUUUGAGUAAGAGCAUAACUGUUCGGACCCGAAAGAUGGUGAACUAUGCGUGGAUAGGGUGAAGCCAGAGGAAACUCUGGUGGAGGCUCGCAGCGGUUCUGACGUGCAAAUCGAUCGUCAAAUCUGCGCAUGGGGGCGAAAGACUUAUCGAACCAUCUWGUAGCCUGGUUACCGCCGAGUU